GACGAACGCUGGCGGCGUGCUUAACACAUGCAAGUCGAACGGAAAGGCCCUGCUUUUGUGGGGUGCUCGAGUGGCGAACGGGUGAGUAACACGUGAGUAACCUGCCCUUGACUUUGGGAUAACUUCAGGAAACUGGGGCUAAUACCGGAUAGGAGCUCCUGCUGCAUGGUGGGGGUUGGAAAGUUUCGGCGGUUGGGGAUGGACUCGCGGCUUAUCAGCUUGUUGGUGGGGUAGUGGCUUACCAAGGCUUUGACGGGUAGCCGGCCUGAGAGGGUGACCGGCGACGUUGGGACUGAGAUACGGCCCAGACUCCUACGGGAGGCAGCAGUGGGGAAUAUUGCACAAUGGGCGGAAGCCUGAUGCAGCAACGCCGCGUGCGGGAUGACGGCCUUCGGGUUGUAAACCGCUUUCGCCUGUGACGAAGCGUGAGUGACGGUAAUGGGUAAAGAAGCACCGGCUAACUACGUG
rnacentral:rRNA from 1 species